AAGCAGGAUUUAAGUACAGUAUAGCUGUUAAGUGCUAUGUUGUUGUUCCCCCUGCUAAAAACAGUGUUGUUUCUUAACUAUGCCUGGAUACCUGUAGCGGCCAGGGAUGCUUGGUCUCACGUAU
ensembl:snoRNA SNORA63 Small nucleolar RNA SNORA63